ACGUAGGGGGCGAGCGUUGUUCGGAAUUACUGGGCGUAAAGGGCAUGUAGGCGGCUCUGUAAGCCUGGCGUGAAAGUCACCGGCUCAACCGGUGGAUUGCGCUGGGAACUGCGGGGCUUGAAUCAUGGAGAGGGAGCUAGAAUUCCAGGUGUAGGGGUGAAAUCUGUAGAGAUCUGGAAGAAUACCAGUGGCGAAGGCGAGCUCCUGGCCAAUGAUUGACGCUGAGGUGCGAAAGUGUGGGGAUCAAACAG
rnacentral:rRNA from 1 species